rnacentral:lncRNA from 1 species
GAGGAGGUGGCGGCAGUUAAGGCAUGCAGCGACUAGGGUUAGGGGCUAGGUUUUUGUUUUCUUUUUUUCUGAAAGUGUUUUGGGCUAAGGUCUGUUAUUGGGCUAUUGAGUUGGGCUUUAUUGGGCUUUUCAUUUUUGGUUUGUAAUCUGGGCAUUUUAUUCUAUAUAUUUUUUAAAAUUUGGUUUUAUUUAUUUAUACACGGGCCCGGGCAAUAAUUGGGUAUUACAAAGAAUGCUAUUAAAACAUGUUACUUUUAGCACUUAUCAAGUCGGGUAAAGGGGUGUUACAAUUCCAACCUUUCUAAUAGUGAAUCCUCACUCAUACAAGCUCAAGAGCUCUCUCUUGCACCGUUUCAAUUCUUUUCUUAACAGCCAUAGACAAACAGAAUAUCAUUAUACAAGCUUUAGAGCUUUCUUAUGAAAAUAACUUCAAAUAGUACUUAGGAAAUGUUGAGAACACCAUUUCUUACUUCAUGGAAGCUUUCUCUCUCUAUCUUCAACUUUAUCUCUUAAGAACUCAUGAAACCCUAGGUUGAAAGAGAGGUUUUUAAAGGUAGAUUCAAGCUUGGAAGCUUCUAGUUGAUUUUAACAUGAAACCAAUGUGGGAAGGUGUUGGACGCUUUAAAGAUUUAAAGAAAAAGAAGGAAAAUGAAGAACAAUGGAGAACCUCCAAGGGGAAUGGGAGCCACGGC